rnacentral:rRNA from 1 species
AGUGAACGCUGGCGGUAGGCCUAACACAUGCAAGUCGAACGGCAGCACAGUAAGAGCUUGCUCUUACGGGUGGCGAGUGGCGGACGGGUGAGGAAUACAUCGGAAUCUACUUUUUCGUGGGUGAUAACGUAGGGAAACUUACGCUAAUACCGCAUACGACCUACGGGUGAAAGCAGGGGAUCUUCGGACCUUGCGCGAUUGAAUGAGCCGAUGUCGGAUUAGCUAGUUGGCGGGGUAAAGGCCCACCAAGGCGACGAUCCGUAGCUGGUCUGAGAGGAUGAUCAGCCACACUGGAACUGAGACACGGUCCAGACUCCUACGGGAGGCAGCAGUGGGGAAUAUUGCACAAUGGGCGCAAGCCUGAUCCAGCCAUACCGCGUGAGUGAAGAAGGCCUUCGGGUUGUAAAGCCCUUUUGUUGGGAAAGAAAAGCAGCAGGUUAAUACCCCGCUGUUCUGACGGUACCCAAAGAAUAAGCACCGGCUAACUUCGUG